UCAGAAAGCCAAUCUCAGUUCGGAUUGUAGGCUGCAACUCGCCUACAUGAAGUUGGAAUCGCUAGUAAUCGCGAAUCAGAAUGUCGCGGUGAAUACGUUCCCGGGUCUUGUACACACCGCCCGUCACACCACGAGAGUUUACAACACCCGAAGUCAGUGGCCUAACCGCAAGGAGGGAGCUGCCUAAGGUGGGGUAGAUGAUUGGGGUGAAGUCGUAACAAGGUACC
rnacentral:rRNA from 1 species